GGAGUUAGCCGGUGCUUCUUCUGUGAGUGAUGUCCUUCCUGCCGGCUAUUAACCCGCAGGCCUUCUUCCUCACUGAAAGUGCUUUACAACCCGAAGGCCUUCUUCACACACGCGGCAUGGCUGGAUCAGGGUUGCCCCCAUUGUCCAAUAUUCCCCACUGCUGCCUCCCGUAGGAGUCUGGGCCGUGUCUCAGUCCCAGUGUGGCUGAUCAUCCUCUCAGACCAGCUACGGAUCGUCGCCUUGGUGAGCCGUUACCUCACCAACCAGCUAAUCCGACAUAGGCUCAUCCGAUAGCGCGAGGCCCGAAGGUCCCCCGCUUUCCCCCGUAGGGCCGUAUGCGGUAUUAGCCUGGGUUUCCCCAGGUUAUCCCCCACUACCGGGCAGAUUCCUAUGCAUUACUCACCCGUCCGCCGCUCGCCACCAGGGAGCAAGCUCCCCGUGCUGCCGCUCGACUUGCAUGUGUUAGGCCUGCCGCCAGCGUUCAAUCUGAGCAGANCAACUACUGA
rnacentral:rRNA from 1 species